rnacentral:rRNA from 1 species
CGGAGGGUGAGUAACACGUGGAUAACCUACCUAUAAGACUGGGAUAACUUCGGGAAACCGGAGCUAAUACCGGAUAAUAUUUUGAACCGCAUGGUUCAAAAGUGAAAGACGGUCUUGCUGUCACUUAUAGAUGGAUCCGCGCUGCAUUAGCUAGUUGGUAAGGUAACGGCUUACCAAGGCAACGAUGCAUAGCCGACCUGAGAGGGUGAUCGGCCACACUGGAACUGAGACACGGUCCAG